UACGUAGGGGGCGAGCGUUGUCCGGAUGAUUGGGCGUAAAGGGCGCGUAGGCGGCCGUGUAAGUCUGGAGUGAAUGUCCCGUUUUUAAGAUGGGAAUUGCUUUGGAUACUGUAUGGCUUGAGUGCAGGAGAGGUAAGUGGAAUUCCCAGUGUAGCGGUGAAAUGCGUAGAGAUUGGGAGGAACACCAGUGGCGAAGGCGACUUACUGGACUGUAACUGACGCUGAGGCGCGAAAGUGUGGGGAGCAAACA
rnacentral:rRNA from 1 species